GAUGAACGCUGGCGGCGUGCUUAACACAUGCAAGUCGAACGGAAAGGCCCUGCUUUUGUGGGGUGCUCGAGUGGCGAACGGGUGAGUAACACGUGAGUAACCUGCCCUUGACUUUGGGAUAACUUCAGGAAACUGGGGCUAAUAUCGGAUAGGAGCUCCUGCUGCAUGGUGGGGGUAGGAAAGUUUCGGCGGUUGGGGAUGGACUCGCGGCUUAUCAGCUUGUUGGUGGGGUAGUGGCUUACCAAGGCUUUGACGGGUAGCCGGCCUGAGAGGGGGACCGGCCACAAUAGGACUACGAGACGGCCCAGACGCCUACGUGAGGCAGCAGUGGGGAGUAUUGCACAAUGGGGGGAAGCCUGAUGCAACGACUCCGCGUGCGGGAUGACGGCCUUCGGGUUGUAAACCGCUUUCGCCUGUGACGAGGCGUGAGUGACGGUAAUGGGUAAAGAAGCACCGGCUAACUACGUG
rnacentral:rRNA from 1 species